rnacentral:rRNA from 1 species
UAUGGGCGCAGGCCUGAACCAGCCAGUAGCGUGAAGGAUGACUGCCCUAUGGGUUGUAAACUUCUUUUAUAUGGGAAUAAAGUUUUCCACGUGUGGAAUUUUGUAUGUACCAUAUGAAUAAGGAUCGGCUAACUCCGUGCCAGCAGCCGCGGUAAUACGGAGGAUCCGAGCGUUAUCCGGAUUUAUUGGGUUUAAAGGGAGCGUAGGUGGACAGUUAAGUCAGUUGUGAAAGUUUGCGGCUCAACCGUAAAAUUGCAGUUGAUACUGGCUGUCUUGAGUACAGUAGAGGCAGGCGGAAUGCGUGGUGUAGCGGUGAAAUGCAUAGAUAUCACGCAGAACCCCGAUUGCGAAGGCAGCCUGCUAGGGUGCGACAGACGCUGAGGCACGAAAGCGUGGGUAUCGAACAGGAUUAGAUACCCUGGUAGUCCAAGGGCGAAUUC